AAAAAGGGCAUCUGUCGUGAUUGACACAGUGAGAGUAGAUCACUCUGGUCUUACUGCGGAAUCGCUAUCAAGAGAUUUCGGAUGCAUAAUUUUUACAAGCCGGGGCUGCUGAUAAUCAUUUAUUUCGGCGCCCCA